rnacentral:rRNA from 1 species
UGGGGAAUAUUGGACAAUGGGGGGAACCCCGAUCCAGCAAUGCCGCGUGUGUGAAGAAGGCCUGAGGGUUGUAAAGCACUUUCAGAGGGGAGGAGGACUAUUAGGUUAAGAGCUAGAUAGUUGGACGUUACCCUCAGAAGCAGCACCGGCUAACUCCGUGCCAGCAGCCGCGGUAAUACGUAGGGACCAAGCGUUGUUCGGAUUUACUGGGCGUAAAGGGCGCGUAGGCGGCAAUUCGAGUCAUCUGUGAAAUCUCCGGGCUUAACUCGGAACGGUCAGAUGAUACUGCUUUGCUAGAGUGCAGAAGGGGCAAUCGGAAUUCUUGGUGUAGCGGUGAAAUGCGUAGAUAUCAAGAGGAACACCUGAGGUGAAGACGGGUUGCUGGGCUGACACUGACGCUGAGGCGCGAAAGCCAGGGGAGCAAACGGGAUUAGAUACCCAGGUAGUCCCUGAGCGGGCUGGCAAGGCGCAU